ACUCCUGACUGACCGAUAGUGAACCAGUACCGUGAGGGAAAGGCGAAAAGAACCCCGGCGAGGGGAGUGAAAAAGAACCUGAAACCGUGUACGUACAAGCAGUGGGAGCACGCUUAGGCGUGUGACUGCGUACCUUUUGUAUAAUGGGUCAGCGACUUAUAUUCUGUAGCAAGGUUAACCGAAUAGGGGAGCCGAAGGGAAACCGAGUCUUAACUGGGCGUUAAGUUGCAGGGUAUAGACCCGAAACCCGGUGAUCUAGCCAUGGGCAGGUUGAAGGUUGGGUAACACUAACUGGAGGACCGAACCGACUAAUGUUGAAAAAUUAGCGGAUGACUUGUGGCUGGGGGUGAAAGGCCAAUCAAACCGGGAGAUAGCUGGUUCUCCCCGAAAGCUAUUUAGGUAGCGCCUCGUGAAUUCAUCUCCGGGGGUAGAGCACUGUUUCGGCAAGGGGGUCAUCCCGACUUACCAACCCGAUGCAAACUGCGAAUACCGGAGAAUGUUAUCACGGGAGACACACGGCGGGUGCUAACGUCCGUCGUGAAGAGGGAAACAACCCAGACCGCCAGCUAAGGUCCCAAAGUCAUGGUUAAGUGGGAAACGAUGUGGGAAGGCCCAGACAGCCAGGAUGUUGGCUUAGAAGCAGCCAUCAUUUAAAGAAAGCGUAAUAGCUCACUGGUCGAGUCGGCCUGCGCGGAAGAUGUAACGGGGCUAAACCAUGCACCGAAGCUGCGGCAGCGACGCUGAUGCGUUGUUGGGUAGGGGAGCGUUCUGUAAGCCUGUGAAGGUGUGCUGUGAGGCAUGCUGGAGGUAUCAGAAGUGCGAAUGCUGACAUAAGUAACGAUAAAGCGGGUGAAAAGCCCGCUCGCCGGAAGACCAAGGGUUCCUGUCCAACGUUAAUCGGGGCAGGGUGAGUCGACCCCUAAGGCGAGGCCGAAAGGCGUAGUCGAUGGGAAACAGGUUAAUAUUCCUGUACUUGGUGUUACUGCGAAGGGGGGACGGAGAAGGCUAUGUUGGCCGGGCGACGGUUGUCCCGGUUUAAGCGUGUAGGCUGGUUUUCCAGGCAAAUCCGGAAAAUCAAGGCUGAGGCGUGAUGACGAGGCACUACGGUGCUGAAGCAACAAAUGCCCUGCUUCCAGGAAAAGCCUCUAAGCAUCAGGUAACAUCAAAUCGUACCCCAAACCGACACAGGUGGUCAGGUAGAGAAUACCAAGGCGCUUGAGAGAACUCGGGUGAAGGAACUAGGCAAAAUGGUGCCGUAACUUCGGGAGAAGGCACGCUGAUAUGUAGGUGAAGUCCCUCGCGGAUGGAGCUGAAAUCAGUCGAAGAUACCAGCUGGCUGCAACUGUUUAUUAAAAACACAGCACUGUGCAAACACGAAAGUGGACGUAUACGGUGUGACGCCUGCCCGGUGCCGGAAGGUUAAUUGAUGGGGUCAGCGCAAGCGAAGCUCUUGAUCGAAGCCCCGGUAAACGGCGGCCGUAACUAUAACGGUCCUAAGGUAGCGAAAUUCCUUGUCGGGUAAGUUCCGACCUGCACGAAUGGCGUAAUGAUGGCCAGGCUGUCUCCACCCGAGACUCAGUGAAAUUGAACUCGCUGUGAAGAUGCAGUGUACCCGCGGCAAGACGGAAAGACCCCGUGAACCUUUACUAUAGCUUGACACUGAACAUUGAGCCUUGAUGUGUAGGAUAGGUGGGAGGCUUUGAAGUGUGG
rnacentral:rRNA from 1 species